rnacentral:rRNA from 1 species
UACGGAGGAUGCGAGCGUUAUCCGGAUUUAUUGGGUUUAAAGGGUGCGUAGGCGGGAUGCCAAGUCAGCGGUAAAAAUGCGGUGCUCAACGCCGUCGAGCCGUUGAAACUGGCGUUCUUGAGUGGGCGAGAAGUAUGCGGAAUGCGUGGUGUAGCGGUGAAAUGCAUAGAUAUCACGCAGAACUCCGAUUGCGAAGGCAGCAUACCGGCGCCCAACUGACGCUGAGGCUCGAAAGCGUGGGGAGCAAACAGG